GACGAACGCUGGCGGCGUGCCUAAUACAUGCAAGUUGAGCGAUGAAGAUUGGUGCUUGCACCAAUUUGAAGAGCAGCGAACGGGUGAGUAACGCGUGGGGAAUCUGCCUUUGAGCGGGGGACAACAUUUGGAAACGAAUGCUAAUACCGCAUAACAACUUUAAACAUAAGUUUUAAGUUUGAAAGAUGCAAUUGCAUCACUCAAAGAUGAUCCCGCGUUGUAUUAGCUAGUUGGUGAGGUAAAGGCUCACCAAGGCGAUGAUACAUAGCCGACCUGAGAGGGUGAGCGGCCACAUUGGGACUGAGACACGGCCCAAACGCCUACGGGAGGCAGCAGUAGGGAAUCUUCGGCAAUGGACGAAAGUCUGACCGAGCAACGCCGCGUGAGUGAAGAAGGGUGUCGGAUCGUAAAACUCUGUUGGUAGAGAAGAACGUUGGUGAGAGUGGAAAGCUCAUCAAGUGACGGUAACUACCCAGAAAGGGACGGCUAACUACGUG
rnacentral:rRNA from 1 species